CCUUCUUAGAAGCCUUUCCACACCGGCGACUCUAAUAAGCGUGUGCAGUCCACCCCCGUGGGCGAUGUCACUUGAGUGCUGGAAUUCCUCCCGAAGGAAUAUCAGCAGCUGACCCGUCAGCUCACAGAUUAGACAGUGGCAGUCAGGACUUUUUAACCGUGGGACACGUUUAAGCCCUGAUAAAGAUAUAAUCGGUCUCCGGCUGCUCCAAGCCGGUGGAGUGUACGUUCCGUAGGUGAACCUGCGGAAGGAUCAUUACCGAGUGAGGGUCUCUCAGGCCCGACCUCCCACCCUGUGUUUUUGUGACCUUGUUGCUUUGGCGGGCCCGCCUCGACGAGAGGCCGCCGGAAGCUCACGCUUUGGGCCCGUGCCCGCCAGUAGCCCCCCUAAAAUUCUUAAUAAACUUGUCGUCUGAGUAUGUGGAUAUAACGCGAAAAAACUUUCAACAACGGAUCUCUUGGUUCUGGCAUCGAUGAAGAACGCAGCGAAAUGCGAUAAGUAAUGUGAAUUGCAGAAUUUAGUGAAUCAUCGAAUCUUUGAACGCACAUUGCGCCCUUUGGUAAUCCGAAGGGCAUGCCUGUUCGAGCGUCAUUAACAACCGUCAAGCCUAGCUUGGUGUUGGACGCCGGGCGUCGAGCCCGUGUCCCAAAGACAGUGGCGGUGUCGAUUCAGUCCUCGGUGCAACGAGCUCCACGAGCACGCACCGGAGGGGCGAUCGGCGCCCGCCUAGACCCCCUAAUUUUCUCAGGUUGACCUCGGAUCAGGUAGGAAUACCCGCUGAACUUAA
rnacentral:rRNA from 1 species